GCUCUCUUUUUCCUACACAGUACAUAUUUGUCUUUAAAGCAUUGGUAUCAAUAGAAAAGAUAUUCUUUGGGCAACAGGGACUGCAAAUGAUUGAAGUAAACAAGUUCCAUUGCAAAGUAGAGAACCAGAAUCCAGAGUCACACUGUGGAAAUGUCAUUAGUGAAUGUGUGGUGAGAGCAGCAUCAGAAUGACCCCCAGGUUACACUACAUUUUACUGAAGAGAAGAAGGCAAGAACACCGUGCCCAGACAGGAAAACGACACAAAUUGAGGUUGUUCCUCUAAUCCAAUACACAUGCAACUGCAGAGACUUUAGACACAAAGUCUAGAGGAAGCCACCUGAAUGCACUGGUAUUGCUUCUUGAAGAAAUUCUGACUGUAGUUCACAACACACUAAUAUGUAAAAUAAUCAUUAUGCUAGAACUAUUGCUCUUGGUCUUGCUCUUAGACAGAAGAGAACAUUGCAACUCAGCAAUUCCAGGAAAAUAACCCUGGCUGUGAUCUAGAGAAAGGAAUGAAGAAAUUAACUCUCUUUGCAUAAAAUGGAAACGGAGAUGACUGUGUGUUCCAUUGAAGCUGAGCAUCAGAGUUGAAGACCCCUAUCUACCCAUACUUUGUCAAAAAAAUGAAGCCCGUUGACUAA